rfam:Paxillus rubicundulus Ve08.2h10 scaffold_76_c1, whole genome shotgun sequence.
GGCCGCCUGGCGAAAUGGCAUCGCGUCUGACUACGAUGCCGUGUGAUCAGGAGAUUGCAGGUUCGAGCCCUGCGGUGGUCA